rnacentral:rRNA from 1 species
UACGAAGGUCCCAAGCGUUAUCCGGAUUUAUUGGGUUUAAAGGGUGCGUAGGCGGGCUAUUAAGUCAGUGGUGAAAUCUCCGAGCCUAACUCGGAAAUUGCCAUUGAUACUGAUGGUCUUGAGUACAUUUGAAGUGGGCGGAAUGUGUCAUGUAGCGGUGAAAUGCUUAGAUAUGACACAGAACACCGAUGGCGUAGGCAGCUCACUAAACUGUAACUGACGCUGAGGCACGAAAGCGUGGGGAGCAAACAGG